AGCAGUCGCCGCGGGAACACGUAGGUGGCAAGCGUUGUCCGGAAUUAUUGGGCGUAAAGGGCUCGCAGGCGGUUUCUUAAGUCUGAUGUGAAAGCCCCCGGCUCAACCGGGGAGGGUCAUUGGAAACUGGGAAACUUGAGUGCAGAAGAGGAGAGUGGAAUUCCACGUGUAGCGGUGAAAUGCGUAGAGAUGUGGAGGAACACCAGUGGCGAAGGCGACUCUCUAGUCAGUAACUGACGCUGAGGAGCGAAAGCGUGGGGAGCGAACAGGAUUAGAUACCCCCGUAGUCCCUGUCUCUUAUAC
rnacentral:rRNA from 1 species